rnacentral:lncRNA from 1 species
GGAGAGAGAGGGGUGCUGGAGAGUUGGGGGAUGGGAAGGGACUUGCGGCCUUAAUAAGGAGACUGAAUUUUAUUAGAGUUAAAUCUUACUUUGAGUGAAAUGGGAAGCCAUUACCAGGCUUAAAGUAGGAAAUGAAAUGAUCAGAUCUCCCCUCCAGCUAGCUCCUCUGUGAACCAUCCAUGGAGAGGCAAGGGGAAAACCUGAACCAGAGAAGACAUCUCUGCAGUCAUCCAGGAAAGACAUAAUGGAGGUGGUGGAACGGAGAUGCUUCAGGAUAUACCUGAGCAGCAAAAUGGAUCCCUCCUCCAACCUGCUCCCAAAUAAAGAGACGUUUCUUCCAAAAGAGGUGGUGCGAAAUUCACUCCAGUUCUGAGUCAUGAAUCAGAGCUGCCUGCACAAGAAUGGUUUGAAAAACAAAGAUACUCAAAAACGUUCCCCAUGGGAAAUGCUGAGUGCAACAACCGAAUCCUGAAACUCUGCUUGCAAAUGUCACAUUCCUCGCACACGUGCUUUGAGCACAGACCCAGCACUAUGUAUGCCAGCAGCACUUAAACUCAAGCAGCCAGGUUAAUAACCCAAACAAUCCUCCACUAAAAGCAUACUGAGGAAAACGAUGGUGAAAAUGUAUGGAAACCCACAGUGAGAGCCCUCAAGUCAAAAAGACGAGAGCCUAAAAAUAAAACCACACCUAUCAAAAUGAAGGAUGAGACACAGAUAAGAAAAUAACAAGAAACAGAUGACAAUGAUAUUUUCCGUUGCGGUGCUGCCUUUUUUUUUGUUUGGAGUUUUUGUGUUCCGAAAAGAUUUUUACGCAGGGGUUCUGAACACUUCACUGUGCAUUCUACCUGUGCAAAAGAGAGCUGAAAUCAUUUGUCAAACUCAGAAACCCUUGGUUUAUAUGUUUUAGAAAACUCAGCAAUCUGACUACAUUCCGAGUUCUUCGAUGAAGUGUUCCCCCAAAAGCUUGGGAAGCCAGGUUAGGGAUGGCCAGAGGGAGGUCCUUCUGCUAAUGCUUGGUUAGAGAUCAGCUUUGGAAAUUAUGGUCCUUAAAUAAAAUAGUGGAAGACCUGCCACAGGACUCCUGAGUUUGAAGGUUUUCUUCCUCCCCACCAUAAGAAAGAUGCACAAAGAUAUUAACUUCUGAGCAGGUCCAGGGAGAAGUCAUUGUAUGACUAAAAUAAAAUAUUGCU